rnacentral:rRNA from 1 species
AGCAGCCGCGGUAAUUCCAGCUCCAAUAGCGUAUAUUAAAGUUGUUGCAGUUAAAAAGCUCGCAGUUGAAUUUCGGGGUCAGUAGGUUGGUCAUGCCUCCGGUAUGUACUGGUCUCACUGAUUCCUCCUUCCUGAUGAGCCGUAAUGCCAUUAAUUUGGUGUUGCGGGGAAUCUGGACUGUUACUUUGAAAAAUUAGAGUGUUUAAAGCAAGCUAACGCUUGAAUACAUUAGCAUGGAAUAAUGGAAUAGGACGUUCGAUCCUAUUUUGUUGGUUUCUAGGAUUGACGUAAUGAUUAAUAGGGAUAGUUGGGGCAUUAGUAUUCAAUUGUCAGAGGUGAAAUUCUUAGGAUUUA